rnacentral:misc_RNA from 1 species
AGUCACUAGUGGUGUAACGCCUUAUCUGGCAUAUUUUGUAUGAAUGGAUACUGGGUAUAUAACCUCUGUAAUAACUUAAAAAGUAGGAAAAUGUGACAGGGGAAGUGAUACCCUGGGGGCGGAUGUUCGAAGGAUCGUAACUUUCCGUCAUUAAGAUCUUAGUUGCCCUCUCGUAGCCACCAUUUUUUUUAUAGUGGGCUACGACCACCGCUAAGAUGUAUUUUCAAACACCCAUCCGAACGCUCGUAGCUCACGAUGAUGCGAUCGUAAAGCUUGGUGCGUUCCGUCCCGCUGUCCAGGAAUGAAACUCAGCUGACUGCUGCUCAUCGAACCAGAAGAGGCGUAUUAACAGCCUUUGAGAGUGAUGGCCAAUGAUAUUGCACCGAAGGGCUCAUAGGAUCUGUUGGAUCGUCGAAGCCCGAAAACAACAACAACGAUAUUGCACCGUGAAACGGUUGGCUGGACAGAAAAACUGUCUUGCAGGAGGAGUUCAGCCAUCAAGUAACUGCAGAGAGAAAAAGAAAGGCAUGGGAAGAAAUAACUUGUGCUGUCAAUGCAGUUUCUCCUGUAGCAAGAGAGAGGAAGUGAAGAAAAAAAUUAUUGACGAAGUCAUCAGUAAAGGGGAAGCAUGCUGCUCUCAAGCAUCAAUAGGAAAAAACUGGUGGUGGAGUGCCUGAUGUAAAACCCCUGACCAGUGUUGAAGAGGCAAUGCUUCCAUUAAUAAAAGAUGUCCAAGUAUCUGGUGUUCCUGGACUUCGUGACCCUCAUCCUGCCAGUGACGAUGAAGAGGACUUGGCAACAGGUGACAUAGAUGUUACACUACCAUCAAAGCCAGCCUCACCAAGACCAGGACCCAGUGGUAUCCAAAACCUCCAAAUCUCAUCACCUCCAGAGCCUCUGUCACCAGACACUGAAACAGAGGGAAUAGUGGAGAUAGCAUCUGAACCAGCUCCACCACAAGCUGAUGAUCACCAAUACAGCCAACCUCCUCAGGCUGGUAGAAAUCAGAGAGGCUAAUCAUGUCGUGAGGGUACACUGGCUCCAGAAAUGCUUCAAGUUCACAAGAAACUCCUUGUCUGAUUUGACUGAAUGCAUUACUACAUAUUUGCAAGGAAUAGCAACAUCUUUGAAUGAAUUGGCAUCUCGCAGACUUGUUUAGGAACAUUUCAAAAUGUCCCACAAAAUAUUGUUAUUUUUGCAUUCCAGUGUCAUUUAUUUUCUGAUAUGCUCAUUACCAAUUUCUUUUUAUUUAAGGAAUACUCUUAUUAUUUUCCACAGUUAUUUUUCUAUUUUGCUUGAUAUAUGGGUAGUUAUUUAUUUUUAAAUUUAAGGAGUUUAUACCCUGUUUUCAAAGUGCCAUUUAUUUUCUUAUUUUGUACAAUGACAUUUAUUUCUUUUUAGGGAGUACCCUAUUUAUUAAUGAUGAAAUGUGUUUGCACUAAAAGUUCAAAUGUAAUGCAGACUUGGCCUCCAAAUACCAUUUAUUAAUUAUGAAAUAAUUUUAGUGUACAUUUGCAUUUCCUCAAACAUUUCAGUUAAUAUUUUGACAAAGAUGUAGAUUUAUUUUGAAGGUGAACAAUUACCUAUUGUUUAUAAUAUUUAGUAGCUUUUCUUAAAUACUGCUUCAGUUUCUUGUCCUAGUGGUGUAUUCAGCUCACCAUUACCUUUCCUGUAGUAUUCCUUGUGUCUUAUAUGAAUGUGUAAAUAUUUAUAUUUCCAUAUAGUGACUCCACGACUGGAACCCACACAAUAUGUGUAUAUACACACACACAUUGUGUGGGUUCCAAUCCUGGAGUUACUAUAUGGGAAUAUAAAUAUUUACACAUUCAUAUAAGACACAAGGAAUACUACAGGAAAGGUAAUGGUGAGCUGAAUACACCACUAGGACAAAAAACUGAAGCAGUAUUUAAGAAAAGCUACUAAAUAUAUGGCCAAUAUGUUGCUGCAAGAAUGGUGACAGGGUACCCACUGUCACCUAUGAGUAACAUGAAUAAAACAAUUAGCGUUAUAGAAGUGACAUUCAUCGGCCUAGAAACAUGGGACAUUUAAUAACUUGUUUAUGUAGGUAUCUGUCUACACUUCAUUAUGACUUGUUCCUCCAGAAACAGUGCAAGUGAUGAUAUGACAUUAGAAGCAACUACCCUUAUAAUGCAUCCUUGCAGAUUCAUGUAAAUGUUGAAAGGAUUUGCUUGUCACUUUGGCUGUGCAGUAAACCCAGGCACCAAAAUCCAACCCAGAUUGAUAUAGUAACAGCAAUCAUCCACAAAUCUUGCCAUUUCAUGCUAAACACAGGCAUUACUGGGCAUUAAAACAUUCAAUACAACCUUCAGUUGCUAUUGGUUGCUAAAUAUGUCAAUAGUGGGUAGGAGUUUUCCUGCCUGGGCUGAGCAAGGUGAAUAUGAUGAUACUAAUGUGCUAAACAUUACACCACAGAUGCUGAUCAUUACAUGAAAAAAAAUACUAAAUGAAGAAAAAAAAUCACUUGCAUGCACAUAAUGACAGACUAGUUUCUGAAGUGGUACGUAUAGUACAGUACAUAAAGAAUGCACACUUCAAAACAUACCAAGAAGAAAGGCAUCUCCGAAUUCACCCCGCUGGAAUCUCCUGUUGAGGAUGCUGUUCUCCCAUACAAAUGAAUCAUAUGUGCUUCCAUGGAAACGGCAGCAAUAGUCUUGAAAAAUGUAGUCUGCAUUACACACAACUUGUAUGUUCAGUGAAUGGAAAUUCUUUCUAUUGAUGUAGAGUUCUUCAUCAACUGGUGGGGCAGCAAUCGGGAUGUGCGUUCCAUCGAUGAUGCCAAUCACAUUUGGAAAAUUGGCAAUUCCAUAUAAUUUCCUCUUUGUUACCCUGGCUUCCUCUAGUCCUGAUGCAAAGAAAAGGUUGCUUAUUCACACAAUGCAAAAUAGAUGUAAAUUACAUUAAUAUUCACUGCUUCAUAAUAUUAUACACAUUUAACAAGAAUUACAAACUAGGUAAGUAAAAACCUAUACGUACAGUAAUUCAGUAAGUAAUAUUGUCACCAUUUAUAAAUUUACCCCUUGGCAUAACAUCUACAUUAUAAAUGCAAUUUGUCCAUGAAUAAAUAAAUUGCUGCGACCCUC